GACGAACGCUGGCGGCGUGCUUAACACAUGCAAGUCGAACGGAAAGGCCCUGCUUUUGUGGGGUGCUCGAGUGGCGAACGGGUGAGUAACACGUGAGUAACCUGCCCUUGACUUUGGGAUAACUUCAGGAAACUGGGGCUAAUACCGGAUAGGAGCUCCUGCUGCAUGGUGGGGGUUGGAAAGUUUCGGCGGUUGGGGAUGGACUCGCGGCUUAUCAGCUUGUUGGUGGGGUAGUGGCUUACCAAGGCUUUGACGGGUAGCCGGCCUGAGAGGGUGACCGGCCACAUUGGGACUGAGAUACGGCCCAGACUCCUACGGGAGGCAGCAGUGGGGAAUAUUGCACAAUGGGCGGAAGCCUGAUGCAGCAACGCCGCGUGCGGGAUGACGGCCUUCGGGUUGUAAACCGCUUUCGCCUGUGACGAAGCGUGAGUGACGGUAAUGGGUAAAGAAGCACCGGCUAACUACGUGCCAGCAGCCGCGGUGAUACAUAAGGUGCGAGCGUUGUCCGGAUUUAUUGGGCGUAAAGGGCUCGUAGGUGGUUGAUCGCGUCGAAAGUGUAGUCUUGGGGCUUAACCCUGAGCGUGCUUUCGAUACGGGUUGACUUGAGGAUUUAGGGGAGAAUGGAAUUCCUGGUGGAGCGGUGGAAUGCGCAGAUAUCAGGAGGAACACCAGUGGCGAAGGCGGUUCUCUGGGCCUUUCCUGACGCUGAGGAGCGAAAGCGUGGGGAGCGAACAGGCUUAGAUACCCUGGUAGUCCACGCUGUAAACGGUGGGUACUAGGUGUGGGGUCCAUUCCACGGGUUCCGUGCCGUAGCUAACGCUUUAAGUACCCCGCCUGGGGAGUACGGCCGCAAGGCUAAAACUCAAAGGAAUUGACGGGGCCCCGCACAAGCGGCGGAGCAUGCGGAUUAAUUCGAUGCAACGCGUAGAACCUUACCUGGGUUUGACAUGGAUCGGGAGUGCUCAGAGAUGGGUGUGCCUCUUUUGGGGUCGGUUCACAGGUGGUGCAUGGCUGUCGUCAGCUCGUGUCGUGAGAUGUUGGGUUAAGUCCCGCAACGAGCGCAACCCUUGUUCACUGUUGCCAGCACGUUAUGGUGGGGACUCAGUGGAGACCGCCGGGGUCAACUCGGAGGAAGGUGGGGAUGACGUCAAGUCAUCAUGCCCCUUAUGUCCAGGGCUUCACGCAUGCUACAAUGGCUGGUACAGAGAGUGGCGAGCCUGUGAGGGUGAGCGAAUCUUGGAAAGCCGGUCUCAGUUCGGAUUGGGGUCUGCAACUCGACCUCAUGAAGUCGGAGUCGCUAGUAAUCGCAGAUCAGCAACGCUGCGGUGAAUACGUUCCCGGG
rnacentral:rRNA from 1 species